AUUGAACGCUGGCGGCAUGCCUUACACAUGCAAAUCGAACGGUAACGGGCCUUCGGGUGCCGACGAGUGGCGAACGGGUGAGUAAUACAUCGGAACGUGCCCGAUCGUGGGGUAUAACGAGGCGAAAGCUUUGCUAAUACCGCAUACGAUCUACGGAGGAAAGCGGGGGACCGCAAGGCCUUGUGGGGGCGGGGGGGGCGAUGGCAGAUUAGGUAGUUGGUGGGGUAAGAGCUUAUCAAGCCGACGAUCUGUAGCUGGUCUGAGAGGAUGAUCAGCCACACUGGGACUGAGACACGGCCCAGACUCCUACGGGAGGCAGCAGUGGGGAAUUUUGGACAAUGGGCGCAAGCCUGAUCCAGCCAUGCCGCGUGCAGGAUGAAGGCCUUCGGGUUGUAAACUGAUUUUGUACGGAACGAAAAGCCUUCUUUUAAUACAGGAGGGUCAUGACGGUACCGUAAGAAUAAGCACCGGCUAACUACGUG
rnacentral:rRNA from 1 species